rnacentral:tRNA from 1 species
GGUUCUAAGGUGUUAUUAACAUAUUUAAUUGCAAAUUAAAAGUUGCUACAUCUUUAGCUAGAACUU